GCUCAGUAAUCAGUGUAGAUCC
rnacentral:miRNA from 1 species